UUCUGGUUGAUCCUGCCGGAGGUCAUUGCUAUCGGAGUCCGAUUUAGCCAUGCGAGUCGCACGAAUUAGAUUCGUGGCGAACGGCUCAGUAACACGUGGCCAAACUACCCUAUGGACCUGGACACUCUCGGGAAACUGAGGUUAAUCCGGGAUAGCGCUCCCACGCUGGAACGCGGGGAGCGUGAAACGCUCCGGCGCCAUAGGAUGUGGCUGCGGCCGAUUAGGUAGAUGGUGGGGUAAUGGCCCACCAUGCCGAUAAUCGGUGCGGGUAGUGAGAGCUAGAGCCCGGAGACGGACUCUGGGACAAGAGUCCGGGCCCUACGGGGCGCAGCAGGCGCGAAACCUUUACACUGCACGACAGUGCGAUAGGGGGAUUCCGAGUGCGAGGGCAUACAGUCCUCGCUUUUGUGUACCGUAAGGUGGUACACGAAUAAGAGCUGGGCAAGACCGGUGCCAGCCGCCGCGGUAAUACCGGCAGCUCGAGUGAUGACCGAUUUUAUUGGGCCUAAAGCGUCCGUAGCCGGCCAGUCAGGUCCGUCGGGAAAUCCACUCGCUCAACGAGUGGGCGUCCGGCGGAAACCGUCUGGCUUGGGACCGGGAGAUCUGAGGGGUACGUCUGGGGUAGGAGUGAAAUCCUGUAAUCCUGGACGGACCAUCGGUGGCGAAAGCGCCUCAGAAGAACGGAUCCGACGGUGAGGGACGAAAGCUAGGGUCUCGAACCGGAUUAGAUACCCGGGUAGUCCUAGCUGUAAACGAUGCUCGCUAGGUGUGACGCAGGCUACGAGCCUGCGUUGUGCCGUAGGAAGCCGUGAAGCGAGCCGCCUGGGAAGUACGUCCGCAAGGAUGAAACUUAAAGGAAUUGGCGGGGGAGCACUACCAACCGGAGGAGCCUGCGGUUUAAUUGGAGUCAACGCCGGA
rnacentral:rRNA from 1 species